UUUCAAUGUUUGGAAAAGAAAUUGUAAGCUCAGUAAUUUGUUAUUUUCUGUUCAUGUUGUUUGCUAUUGUGAUGGAAAGGUCAGAGGAGUCAACAUCAGAAGAUGAGAAAAGGAGGAAUUAUGGAGGUGUCUACGUUGGUUUGCCUGCAGAUACUGCCACCAAGGUUCCCAGUCACACAGCUACAACUGGCAAAGUCUAGGAGCUGACAUGCAGACCAAGGGAUCUUAAUUAGAAGUGUAUACAAGCUGAAGCCUCAUCCAGGGCAGUGCCUGUCUUACUCUCUACAAUUGUUUUGGCUGAAUGGCAUUCAUUUUGAAUGCAUUUUUAAAAAAAAUUAGAUGAAAUCAGGUAAACUUAGAGAAUGGUACUGCCUUGAUAGUUAAUGGUUGCCAAAUGUUUCCUGUUAUAUUAACAAAUUGGGAGCUUUUGGAUGCAAGCAAGUGAAGAUACCUGGUGUGUGGAGGCAUAAACUGUAAGAAUUGUCGUAUUGUGUAUCCUUGAGAUUUGACUACAAUUCCAGCAACACUCCAAUGAUGCUAUAUUCUCACUGUGUAUAUCUCAACAAUGCCUGUUAUCAUCGGGAAAUCACCUCGUGAUGUGAUUGGAGGAAGAAAAUAAGAAGCCUGUUGAGUGUCUAAAUGUAAGGCUCAUGGUUGGGGAUGAAUGGGGCAUGAUUUUAACCACAUAUUUUUAAAUUGUUUUCCAGAAAAUUAAUUUUCUUUACUUGCCUCUUAGGAAGCAAAAACAAAAUCAUAAAGCGUCUGAUUAUUAGGUCCUCUGGAAACAUGUAAGCUAACAUGUUAUGUUUGAAAUGCAGUCACCAUAGUUGGGUGAGCAAAUACAGAAGUCAUGUUUUGCUCAGCAAGAUCCCAUAGUUUUUAAAAAUGAAUAAGCAGAGAACAUCCUGCAUCUAUUCCUGUGGGAUCUUUUACAUGCACUUCUACAAGCAGAAUCAGGCCUCAGUUUAAAGUAUUUCUGAAAAACAAUGAAAAAUGCAGCAAACGUGCAGUACUGCAGUCUAUGGCAUGAGUUGAAAGCCUAAAUGUCUGCCUCAGAGGUGAGACUAUUACCAUCUGAGACAAACUGUUGUGUCAAAAACUUAAUCUGAGCCUGAUGUGAGGUGCAAUAGUUUAGAACUUCUGAUGUAUUUAUCGAAUGUGUCUGUAACAGUCAAUCUGAUUCUGGUAUUAAGAUUUAAGAUAAAUAUGCCAGAGUAUUUUAUUUAAUAAGAUCAUUUUCUUAAAUCCUGAAAUUUUAGUGCAGCGUUUUGUUGCUGGAGUAUAUUUCUGUAACAGCAUUCAUAACUUUUCCUGAUUCUACCUGGAAUUUGGCUUAAUUUCUCAUUCCAUACCACUGGCUGUAAUUAUAGCCAAACGUGAUCUCUGGUGUUGUUUAGAACAUUGUGCAUUUCUUUGACUCUUGAUUUAGGUUUUGGUGGAGAAGUUUUUUAAUUUUUUUUAUUUUGUGUUUUAGAAGGAGAAUGGCUAGGUUUAACCUGGCAAAUAUUCCAGCCCAUUUUUGAACCAAACGCCAACAGAGGCCCGUUUUUAAAAUCAUAAUUAUUCUUCAUCUCUAACUGGUAUACUUAGUAGUUCAGUUGUUAAAAUUGAGGAAUUAUGUUCCGUUUAUUGAAAUAAUGACAAUGCAGUAUUGUG